GGCCGUAGCUCAGUGGUAAAGCGUCAGUUUUACAUGCAGAAGGUCCCAGGUUCAAAUUCUGGCAGCGUCC